CUACGUGCCAGCAGCCGCGGUAAUACGUAGGGCGCGAGCGUUGUCCGGAAUUAUUGGGCGUAAAGAGCUUGUAGGCGGUUGGUCGCGUCUGCUGUGAAAGGCCGGGGCUUAACCCCGUGUAUUGCAGUGGGUACGGGCAGACUAGAGUGCAGUAGGGGAGACUGGAAUUCCUGGUGUAGCGGUGGAAUGCGCAGAUAUCAGGAGGAACACCGAUGGCGAAGGCAGGUCUCUGGGCUGUAACUGACGCUGAGAAGCGAAAGCAUGGGGAGCGAACAGGAUUAGAUACCCUGGUAGUCCAUGCCGUAAACGUUGGGCACUAGGUGUGGGGGACAUUCCACGUUUUCCGCGCCGUAGCUAACGCAUUAAGUGCCCCGCCUGGGGAGUACGGCCGCAAGGCUAAAACUCAAAGAAAUUGACGGGGGCCCGCACAAGCGGCGGAGCAUGCGGAUUAAUUCGAUGCAACGCGAAGAACCUUACCAAGGCUUGACAU
rnacentral:rRNA from 1 species